ensembl:lncRNA
CUGGGGACAAGCUUAGGAUCCCAGAGCUCUGCUGAACAGGCACCCUGCGGUACUGGCAAGUUCCCGGGAAGGUGAAAGCUUGCUCCUGCCACAGGAGGAGGAAGCUCUCCCCAGAAGGAAGAAGAAGAAAACGGAGGACCCACCUAUCAUCUGACGAAUGCUAUGUUUUGUCCAGAUAUGGUGCCACGUUGUCACUCACAGUCACCACGUGCUGCUUCCUGGAAGGAUUUGGGUUUUUCAUCUUGACAGCCAUGCCAGGUGGCAAACUUCAAGUUCGAACUUAAGAGUUUCUCAACCGUGACCCGAAGGCCACCCACAUCAAUGUUAAAAGUGCUGAUCCCUGUGCCGCUCAGUCCUGUGGAAUUAGAAUCUCAGUCCAGAGUCUGCACUUUCAAGUCCUGUAGAUCUCAGUCGCUGUCAUUUGAGUUGCUCCUCACAGUCCUGGCAAUCUCAAAUCUCCGGAUGCCUUGGUAGGAAAGUUCCGUCUGGCUGAUCAGAAUAGAGGCCAUUGUGAUCCUGUGAGAAAACGUUGAAAUCUUGGUGUGGAGGGGAGAAGAAUGCUCCAGAGAAAGACUGCAUAGGUGUUGUUCUGUGUGAGUCGGAGAAUCGUCUACGAUAGCUGCCAUUUUAGUUUUGAAUGAGUGAAUCUGAUCAGCCUACAGAAACCAAAGUAAAAUAAUAAAUAGAAAAGGGGUAGAUCAUAAAAUUGACUACUUAGCACAUCCAGUAGAAAUAGGCUGGGAAGGAUCUUCAAGACAGAUCUCUGGAAUUCCCCGUCAAGGGUCCCAGGCAGAGUGUACCCUCAAGUGAGGCUCCCAGGUAAAAGGACAAGCAACGUUUCAGAUGUGGCAUAAUCAAAUAUGGCUCUGAUCUCAUCAAGUAGAACCUGACUAAGGAAUUUGGAGCAGUGAGCAGGAGUUCCCAGUUGAGCCUUCUCCCUAUGAUUGUGACUCCCACGGCUGAACUCUUGACUUCUCUUUUCCCCUGUAGAUCUUUGAAUAGCAUGGGAUCUCUAUUGGAAACAGCUCACUUUCUAGCUCCUCUCAUGGAUACAAUGUUUGUACUCUUUGGUCUCUGUACUGGCUGGUUUCCUGUGUCAACUUGACACAUGCUAGAGUUAUCACAGAGAAAGGAGCCUCCCUUGAGGAAAUGCCUCCAUGAGAUCCAGCUGUAAGGCACAUUUUCUCAAUUAGUGAUCAAGUGGGGAGGGCCCAGCCUACUGUGUG